UGCCUAACCCCGUCAGCUUGCUGAUUGGCAUGGCAUGAAAUCCAUCCAAGGUAUAAAACCCGUCGUCAGGGUUCCUUGGAUGGUUGCAUGGGGAAACUUAUGCAUUCGGGCAGAAAGUUUCGA
rnacentral:sRNA from 1 species